UGGGGGAUAUUGCACAAUGGGCGAAAGCCUGCUGCAGCGACGCCGCGUGGGGGAUGAAGGCCUUCGGGUUGUAAACUUCUUUUGCUCUGAACAAGGCAUGCUAAUGGGUGUGUUGAGUGUAGGGGUUGAUUAGCGCCGGCUAACUACGUGCCAGCAGCCGCGGUAAUACGUAGGGCGCGAGCGUUGUCCGGAAUUAUUGGGCGUAAAGGGCUUGUAGGUGGCUGGUUGCGUCUGUCGUGAAAGCUCAUGGCUUAACUGUGGGUUUGCGGCGGGUACGGGCUGGCUUGAGUGCAGUAGGGGAGGCUGGAAUUCCUGGUGUAGCGGUGGAAUGCGCAGAUAUCAGGAGGAAUACCGGUGGCGAAGGCGGGUCUCUGGGCUGUUACUGACACUGAGGAGCGAAAGCAUGGGGAGCGAACAGG
rnacentral:rRNA from 1 species